rnacentral:misc_RNA from 1 species
UUUCCGUAGGUGAACCUGCGGAAGGAUCAUUACUGGGUAACCGAGCGCUCCGGCGCUCACCCCCCACCCUCUGUUUCCCGCCCCUGUUCGGCGUCAGGCGGGUCCCCUCUGGGGGCCCUCCGGCCGGAACCCAAACCCUGAACAACAGUGAAGCCUGAAGUAACAAGCAAAUAGUUAAAACUUUCAACAACGGAUCUCUUGGUUCUGGCAUCGAUGAAGAACGCAGC